UUGGUGUUCAGCUGCUCCUUUUCAUCUGCCGUAUCCCUUUUAUUGCGAUGUCAUAUGAUGGUGAAGAUAGCCUCUUUUGUUUCAAACUGAAAGUUAUGCUCUAUUUCUAUUUUGGGCACAUUAACAGUUGAAUCUAAAACUGCACUUUGAUGUAAAAUCAGACGGAUUACAAUACGUUGAUACUUCAGCAAUGACUCUAGCUGUUGGAAAAAACAAACUUGGCCUGCACAAGAUGCAUGUUUCAGCCUGCUAUGCUUCAACUACUCCACUUAAGGAAAGACUACCUUCCAGUAAUUCCAACAUGGCCAUCUAUUCAGUGCGAAUAUACACCAUCCGACCCGGCCAUUUCGAGGGCCCUCCCAUCGUCUUCGGACCCAUGACCGGGAGACCACCCUUCCUGCAAGAAGUCUACAUCAUCCCAGCCGGACCCACCCUUCCUGAUAGCUAACUAUUCAAUCCAUGCUCAGAGCUUGGAAGUAACUAGUUACAAGUAAUGAAUUACUUGUAAUUUAUUACUUUUUUGAGUAACAAGUGCGUAACUUCAUUACAUUUUGCUGGUAAUAGAAUGAGUAGUAACUUCAUUACUUUUGAGGAGUAAUGGUAAUGUUUCCAGCAUUACUUUUGCGCAUUACUUGGGGGGGGAGCAGGGGAAGUCUUCUGCUCCUCUGAUUUGUGAAUAAAAACCAUGUGCUUCAAAUUGGGCUUCUGUGCAGCAUUGUUCUUCCUUCAUGCUCUGUGGGUGCUUAGGAGGCGAUGAGGGAAGAGGUGGAGAGCGAGACUGGGUGGAGAAAACAAUUGUUUAAAAAUGGACAGGAGUGGCAGGAGAAAAGAGCUGGAGGCAAUAUAUAUAU